UUGCUGAUCUUGGUGGUCAUAUCAUGCAUGGUCUACGUGAUCAGAAUGAGAACCAUGUCAUUCAGAAGUGUAUCGAAUGCAUUCGGCAGAAAUUUGCUACUAACGUUGUUAAGAAAUGUUUAACUUUUGGUGGCCCUGUUGAACGCCAGUUUUUGGUCAGUGAGAUGGUUUGUAUCUCCAAAUAUAUAAUGUUCUUCUACAGGCUAUGGUGAAUGAUUAAUUUGAUAAUUAUAUAGUGCAAAAAGUACUGGAGACUCGUGAUGAUCAAAUACCUAGGUUAAAUACCUGCUGUGUAUAUGGUGGAUUUCCUUAUGGUCCUCAAGAAGCUGCACUGAGAAGGGGGGUUGAUAUAGAGUAUAGUCAUUGGAACUUCUAGAAGAAUAAAGAUCGUGUUGAGAGGGGAAACCUUGACUUUGGUUCAUUAAAGUUUCAUGUACUUGACAAAGAUGAUGAGAUGCCUGACAUGGUUUUUUUUGACGAUGUCGAACUUAUUCUCGGUUUAGGUUGGAGGAUCACCAAUUCAGGUUGGAAAUCUGUUUCACAGAAGGAAGAGAAUUGGUUUGAACACCAGUAGGAUAUAAAAAUGACAUUUGUUCCUGCUUCAGAAAUGGUUAUAACAGCUGUUCAGACAAGUGGUGGUUGGUUUACUUUCAAUUCUGAUGCUGUAGAGGGAGAUCAAUCAAAACGAGAUGUUUUGGUAUUAUUACUACAGGACAUAUGUUAGAAGUGUGGGAAAAUGAAGAGAGCAUCUUGCAUCUUCGACACUGGUAAGGGGGAUGAUGUACUACCGAGGGGCUUUGAAGAUUCAAGCCUUCCUUGACAUGGCUGAUGAAACUGAAAUUUUGGAAGGCUACAAGGCAAUCUCCAUUCCAUCAGAGAAAGAGUAAAUGAGACAGAGAUCCCUCUUUGCUCAACUAGAGGCUAUUGCUGACAUGAAGUUUGCGUAUGUUGCUACUUGAAAGGGCUCUAUUUUUCUUCAGAAUCUAAUAUUUGGUGCUUUCUCAUACAGUAACCCAUCUCUUCGCGUAGCAUAUAUUUGAUGAAGUUGAAGUAAGCGAAGGUGGCAUUCUACAGAAGGUCUAUUAUUCCGUGUUAAUCAAAGCUGUUGAUAACCGUGAUCAGAUUUUGAGCAGCUUCGGUGAAAGUGGCGUGCGACAUCUAGCACAUUUCUCUUGCUGGUUCCAGUAGAAAUGCCUCACAAUUCAUGGUGACAACUUAAACUUCAACCUUUGGGCAUGCCUCAUGCAGCAAGAUGUUCACCUAGGUAGCUGGUUUCCGUAGUUCCAAAGAAUGUGAGUUCUUUUUCCUUUAAAUUGUUAUGUAAGAACCUUGAUGUGAUACUGAAUUUAUAGAU